UAACACGUAAGGAAUCUGCCUCCAAAUCCGGAAUAGCUCUGCCAACGCGGAAUUAAUGCCGGAUGUGGUUGCAUGGUCGCAUGGCUAUGCAACUAAAGGUGACCUCUUCGUUUGAAAGUUACCGUUUGGAGAUGACCUUGCGGCCCAUUAGCUUGUUGGCGGGGUAACGGCCCACCAAGGCUGCGAUGGGUAGCCGGCCUGAGAGGGUGAUCGGCCACAUUGGGACUGAGAUACGGCCCAGACUCCUACGGGAGGCAGCAGUAGGGAAUUUUGCGCAAUGGACGAAAGUCUGACGCAGCAACGCCGCGUGAGCGAUGAAGGUCUUCGGAUCGUAAAGCUCUGUUGAGUGGGAAGAAACGUCUCGGGGUUAAUAUCUCCGAGGCCUGACGGUACCACUCGAGGAAGCUCCGGCCAACUACGUGCCAGCAGCCGCGGUAAUACGUAGGGAGCGAGCGUUGUUCGGAAUCACUGGGCGUAAAGGGAGUGCAGGCGGAAAGGUAAGUCAGAAGUGUAAUCUACGGGCUUAACCCGUAUCUCGCUUUUGAUACUGCUUUUCUUGAGUAGUGGAGAGGGAAACGGAAUUCCAGGUGUAGCGGUGGAAUGCGUAGAUAUCUGGAAGAACACCAGUAGCGAAGGCGGUUUCCUGGCCACAUACUGACGCUGAGGCUCGAAAGCGUGGGGAGCAAACAGGAUUAGAUACCCUGGUAGUCCACGCCGUAAACGAUGGGCACUAGAUAUCGGGGAAUUCGAUUUCUUCGGUGUCGCAGUUAACGCGAUAAGUGCCCCGCCUGGGGAGUACGCCCGCAAGGGUGAAACUCAAAGGAAUUGACGGGGGCCCGCACAAGCGGUGGAGCAUGCGCUUUAAUUCGAUGCAACGCGAAGAACCUUACCUGGGUUUGACAUGGGAGUGAAAGUUCCUAGAGAUAGGAACCUUUCCUUCGGGAACACUCCACACAGGUGCUGCAUGGUUGUCGUCAGCUCGUGUCGUGAGAUGUUGGGUUAAGUCCGCAACGAGCGCAACCCUCGCCGUUAGUUGCCAUCAGGUGAUGCUGGGAAGUUUAGGGGGACCGCCUCGAACAACCAGGAGGAAGGUGGGGAUGAUGUCAAAU
rnacentral:rRNA from 1 species